rnacentral:lncRNA from 1 species
GGGAUUUUGUCAUUGUUCGUCUGAGAAAAGGUCGCUUUCCGGCCGGCAGAGUAAAAAUUUCGGACCGUGUCGGGUUAUGAGGAAAAUUAACAAUAACGCUUACCUUGUAGAUCUUCCUGAAGAAUUUAAUAUGUCCGCCAUCUUUAAUGUAGCAGAUCUGAAGAUGUAUUUUCCACCAGAAAAUGAAGUUCUUGAAGAGCAAUCGGGGACGCUUGCCUAGGAGGUAGGAUCGCAUGAUGUAGCAUGGGUCAUGGAUCAUGCUAACUCAUUCCUUGAGGAGGCCUUGGCUGAGCAUAACCGACUCAACUAACUCAUUCCUUGAGUGACCACUGCCAAGGAGUGAGUAUAUAAAGACCAGUGGCCACAAAGAAAUGACGCUAUUUUUUAUUCUUGUAACAUAUACUCUUCUUCUUUUCUAUUUCUUCUCUCCCGCGUAUUCUGUUUCUAAUCCUCUCCGUUGGUGGACUCCAACAGAUCUUCAGUUCUUCCUCCCUCUCCUGCUUUCUUCUCCGUUCUGCCCAAAAUCAUCGGCCUCCUUCACCAUCCAGGUACGGUUCCUCUGUUCCGUUGGCUUCCGCU